rnacentral:rRNA from 1 species
CGUGUAGGCGGUUUGAUAAGUUGGACGUGAAAGCUCCUGGCUCAACUGGGAGAGGUCGUUCAAUACUGUCAGACUUGAGGAUGGUAGAGGGAGGUGGAAUUCCGGGUGUAGUGGUGAAAUGCGCAGAUAUCCGGAGGAACACCAGUGGCGAAAGCGGCCUCCUGGACCAGUCCUGACGCUCAGACGCGAAAGCUAGGGUAGCAAACAGGAUUAGAUACCCUGGUAGUCC